rnacentral:rRNA from 1 species
UGAGGAACAUGACUUUCGGCGGGGGAUAGCCGGCCCAACGGCCGGGUAAUACCGCGUACGACCACUCUGGGAC